ACAACUAUCUCUCUAGAUAAUGUAAAUGUCAUCUUCAAGUUUAUGGAUUUUCAUUUUCACAACAACAUCAAUAAUAUAGAUCUAGUAAUAGUAUUUAGGGCAAAUGUCAUUGGGUUUUCGUUAACACAAAUAUAUGUUGUUCUGCCCCUUGCAGCACAUCCACAACUAGAAAAUCUAGGUUUAUAAACUUGAAUGUAUAAACAGAGGCAGAUUUUAGUGUGAACACAAGUUAUACUCAAUAAUUUUGGCUCAUAUUUCUUGAUGCACAAGUUGUUUAUAUGUAAUUAAUCACAAAUCCAAUUCUUUUGGAAUUGUUGAUUUCUUGCUAGUUGAUAUGGAGGACUUAUGCUCCAGAUUUCAAUUCUCUCGCUUGUUCUGUUUUCAUUCAUCUUGAGCUUAGAAGAGCUUUAUACUAUGGAGUUUGAAAAUAAAUAAUGGAGAAAUUCUAGAAUGAUCCAAGCUUUGUUCGUAAAAAGAUAUCGGGUGGAGGUGAAAUAGUACUUUGACAUUGCAGUAGCAGCAAGAAGCACCCGAUUUGUGCGAGAUCUAAUGAAAGUGAUGGAAGUAGCUGGUGACUAACAAAUAUGAGAAUACGACAGCAAAGUGCUAAAGCAAUGAGGGAAAGGAAUCACUUUGACAGCUAUGAAUGGGUAUAAAGCUAUAGUAUCAUACCUUUUUGAGGUCACAAGUCUUCAUGUGGUACAGACCUACCUUCUUCACACCAUUAUACAGAAUGAGAUGUAUGUGAUGGCAUAACAUUUAUUCAACAAAGACAGGAAAAUUAGCCAGUAAAAUGUUACAAGGAAAUAUUCAUGUCUUACACAUGUUAUCACAAAAGUCGAGGAAAAAUUGAAGAGAUUCAUUGAAGGAGCUUAUUCUCCAACGUGGAGAAAGUUAUUUAGCCUGGCCAGGAGGGGUACUCCCAGCAAAAUAUGUACUGGAGAAACACGUCAGUCUAUUACUUGAGGAGCUUUGGGCGGAAUGUCAAAGAAGUGCAGAGGAUAAGCUAUUGGAACUAUUGGAAAAGGAAAGCUUUGCUCUAUUCUGCUGCAAAAGCAGGAAAUAUAGAGCUUUUAGUUAUGGUUAUUCACAGUCAUCCUGAACUCAUAUGGCAACCUGACUAUCAAAACUGGACCAUUUUCCAUGUUGCGGUUUUAUAUCGAGAGGAAAAAGUCUUCAGUCUUAUACACCAAAUAGGAGGAAUGUAAAACUUUCUUCUUCAAAUAUAUGAUAAUGAUGGCAAUACCAUUCUACAUUUAGCUGGGAGGUAGGGCAGGGCAGCCACUCCGUCAGCAGAAAACUGGACAGAUGCUGAUAAUAAUGAUGUAUUCGUUGAAUCACAACAACAGUUGUUUCAAGAGAUUAGACAGUCUGUUAAAGUAUUUCCUCUCUUUUUAAACUAUACAUGUUGCUUCAUUCCAAUUUAACACAGAUACAAGAAAUAUUGUAUAAUCAAAAAGUCCCGUUGUUUGGAUUAAUCACCAUUGCUUAAAUAAUGAGCUGACCAACAGGAGGAAGAGAAGAUUAUGCCGCCAUCAUUUCUCAAGGUUUCUGGAGCAGCACUUCAAAUGCAAAGAGAGAUAUUGUGGUUCACGGUGAGAAAUUACCUAAAAGUAAAUUUUCCAAUCGGAAACACAUCUUGUUGCAUUUAUAUAUUUUAAGAGUGAAUUAAAGACGUACAUUUUUAGCGUUUUCUAUAAUGGGCAGAGUUAUGGCUUUUAAAAUUUUUGUGUUGCUGCGGAAUGAUUAGUUACUAAUUUUCUAGCGAGAAACUUGCAUCUUCACUCCACAAGGUGAGAAACAACGAUGGGAGAACCCCUAGGGAAUUAUUCAUAGAAGAGCACAAGCUAUUACUAAAAGAAGGGAAAAGGUGGAUGAAAGAUACUGUGAAUUCUUGUAUGAUUGUUGCAACUUUGUUUACCACGAUGUUGUUUGUUGCUACUGUCUAUUCUGACAUCUCUCUAUGCUGAAGACGAUUUUCUUGUGUCAUUGUCAUAUAGAGAUGUCAGAAUGGACAAGAACAUAAUGAUGGAAACGAUUGAGCUAAAUAAUGCCACUGCAUCUGAUAUGACAAAGACCGUAAAUCCAUUCAGUUUUAGCAAUAUUGGAAUACCAUUAUCUGGCACAGGAAGCCAGCAACAAACACCAUCGUGGCAGUCAAAGUUGCAACAAUCAUACAAGAAUUCACAGCGUCUUUCAUCCACCUUUCCCCUUCUUUUAGUAAUAGCUUGUGCUCUUCUGUGAAUAAUUCCUUAGGGGUUUUCCCAUCGUUGUUUCUCAGCUUGUGGUAUAUAGGUGGUACAAUUUUCUCCACUUCCUAGACAGUUAGUAAUUAUCAUUCUGCAGCAACAACAUUUUUAAAAGACAUAACCCUUCCCUUUAAAGAAAACGCUGAAAAUUGUAUCUCUUUAAUUCAUACUUAAAAAGCUAAAUGACAGAUAUUUAAAUGCAACAAGAUGUGUUUCCAACUGCGAAAUUUACUUUUAGGUAAUCUUCUCACCGUGAACCACAAUAUCUCUUUUUGCAUUUGAAGUGCUGCUCCAGAAACCCUGAGAAAUGAUGGCGGCAUAAUCUUCUCUUCCUUUUGUUGGUCAGCUCAUUAUUUAAACAUUGAUGAUUAAUCCAAACAACGGAACUUUUUGAUUAUACAAUAUUUCCUGUACCUGUGUUAAAUUGGAACGAAGCAACAUGUAUAGUUUAUAAAGAGAGAGGAAAUACCUUAACAGACUGUCUAAUAUCUUGAAACAGCUGUUGUAGUACAACAUUAUUAUCAGCAUCAGGAGGCACAUACUGGAAAAGUUUGUUUUUCUGUUUAAGGAUUGGCUGCCCUAACUUCCCAGCCAAAUGUAGAAUGUUGUUGCCAUCAGUACCAAUUAUUUGAAUAAAUAAGUUUUAAAUUGCUCAUAUAUGGUGUAUAAUCUUACCAUACAUCUCAUUCUUGAUAGUAGCCUUAAAAAGGUCUUAGCGUUUUUCUUGCUGUAUCACAUCAAGACUUGUGACCUCAAAAAGGUAUGAUACCACAGCUUUAUGCCCAAACAAAGCUGCCAUAGAAAUUGGUAAUAUUCCACCGUCACACGGGAUGUUUGGUAGAUUCUUAUCUCUUACCCUCAGUUCUUUAACAAUUUCAAUAAGGAUUUGCUUAGUGUAGAAAUUCCUCCUGCUUUCCCACUAGAAUUUCUUCACUAUUUGCUUAGUGUACCAAUUCCAACGUGUUAGCUUCCAUAGUAUCAUAAAGCUCAAGAUGGAGCUGAACCUGUGAAUGAAAGCAGAACAAGCUCGACAGAGAAGUGAAAUCUGGAGCAAAAGUCUUCCAUAGCAAUCAGCUUCCAGAAGAAAUGGAUUUGUGUUCUGAUUAAUCAUAUCAUAUCAUCAUCAUAUUACCCUUUAACUGAAAGUUAAGUCACUACUCUCUCUCCUUUUUACCGGAAACUCCUCGGUAUGCUAUAUCAGCCCCAACUCCUACAAAAACACCACCCUCACAGUUCCCUCCGCUUCAUUUUUCAUACACCAACUACAAACGUAAAUUGUGCAAUCUCUGACUACAAAGUGUAGAAUCAAACUAGGAUAAACAUAGUACUUUCAAAGAUUUCCCUAGGCAUCUUCAUUAUACUACCAUCUUUGAAUUUUACACACCCAUAAACUAUUAUUUAUCCUGCGUACCCAUACUAUCAUCUUCGACAUUCAGAGUCCCGUACAAUUGCACAACAACUACUACUGCAUAUCCUUCUCAUCACCAACUCUGAAUUUUAAUAAAGGUUCUACCCACUGCUUUUGAGGCAUUACGAUCUUGGACUUUUAAAGCAAUGAUAUUCUGGCGUGAUAUUGGGUAUUGCUGUGAUACAGUUGCUGUUUAAUCCUUGCUUGCCGCAGCGAGAGCUGAACAAAUGUCAAUUCUAGUAUGUACGUUAUAAUCUUUAGCUUGUAGUUCAUAGGAAUGAUCAUAUAAAAUUUUCAGAUGUGAUCUCACUCCUUGUAUUAGAUUGCUGGUUAGACAACAAUGCCAUCAAUUUUGAGAUUAACAACUCAUUUAUUUUAAAUUUGAGCGGAAUUACGAUUCCAAUUCCUUCAGA